AAGCUGAACAGGUAUUUCAAACCUGCAGUUCCCUAGUCCAAAAGAUCACCAACAUCCCCUUGCUCUCCCCUGGAAAUCAGUGGGACUUAAAUUUGUAUGAAUCAUGCCCACUAUGCCUCGAGUUUAUGUUAUUCUAUCUUGUCAGGCCCAAGUACUACAUGGCACUGGUCUUGCCUUACUUGUAUAUUAAGUUUGUUGCAAAACCAUGGUCUUCAGUGCUGUCAGAGUAAGACUGAUUGGCAAAUUUUACGUGCUUGCUUGUUAUUAAUUUGAAGGACCCUUUGUGAGAGGAAGGAAAGGAGAGAUCUCACAGGGUGAGAGGCUAUGAGAAGAGAGGGGGGCUCCCAGGCAAGUUAGGAAGGCUCAUCUUUUCCCCCCCUGUAUGACACUUGUAAUGUGAAAUGAAUUUUGGUAACUACGAUUCUAUAAUAGAUGGAUAAUGGGAAAAGAUGCAGAAAAGAUUAUUAUUAUUAUUAUUUGGAAAUGGAACCCAUGAAGGGAGGGGAAGAUGUCCAAAGUUUUGAAAUAACCUUUUUAUUUUCAUGUUUUGGAGUAGUUAAGGUUACUAUGUAUAAAUUCAUGUAAAACCAAUAUAAAAAAAAAUCUUAUUAAAAAAAGUUAAGAUACAGCUUUGAGAGAGUAUUUUGUAUUUUUAAUUCUGUUUUCCAUUCUUUUAGUUUUUCUCUUUUUAUAGUUCUUUGAAGAUUAGUUCGUAUUUUAUUGUAUCAUGAUUUUUUUUUUAAAAAACACAAUUAUGUUCACCAGCAAUAGCUGGUCAUAUCUCAUUGCUGAUUUAAAAAAAAAUAGCUUAGUCAGAUAUUUUUAAAGUCCAAAAUGUGUGAAAUUUGAAAGCCACACAACCGCUGGUUUUAGGGACAGCAAAUGCACACCUCUGGGAUUCUGUGUCUUCCAUCUUUGGAGAACUCCAUGAUCACUUCUAGCAGCUAUGGAAUCUGUCAAGGGAUGUUCACUAUUUUGCGUGUGGUAGUCGGGGUGUUUGUGGAAAGUUAAAGGGGGGAAAUCUGUCCUUUUGACCUUUUUCCC